GUCAAGUCAUCAUGCCCCUUAUGUCCAGGGCUUCACGCAUGCUACAAUGGCCGGUACAGAGGGCUGCGAUGUCGUGAGGCGGAGCGAAUCUCUUAAAGCCGGUCGUAGUCCGGAUCGCAGUCUGCAACUCGACUGCGUGAAGUCGGAAUCGCUAGUAAUCGCAGAUCAGCAUUGCUGCGGUGAAUACGUUCCCGGGUCUU
rnacentral:rRNA from 1 species